UCGUCAGCAGGGUAACUUAGGAUGUGUUUGGUUCCACCUUGCGAAACUUUAGCAACUAAAGUUUAGUCCCAUUUAGUUCCAAAUUUGCCAAACAUCCUUGCUAAACCUUGCUAAACUUUGGUUGCUAAACUUUAGCCCAUAAGUAACCUUUUGCUUGCUAAACCUUACUAAAAGAUGGGGUGGACACCCUUUGCCCCCAUUAAUACCUGUCUGGAUACCCC
rnacentral:lncRNA from 1 species